AAAUAAACGGGAUUGGAAUGAAAAUCCUUUUUGUAGGCUGAGGCCUUCCGAAGCACAAAAAGAUUGAAAUGGAAAGCCCGACUAACG
rnacentral:sRNA from 1 species